AUGUCGGCUCAUCACAUCCUGGGGCUGAAGUAGGUCCCAAGGGUAUGGCUGUUCGCCAUUUAAAGUGGUACGCGAGCUGGGUUUAGAACGUCGUGAGACAGUUCGGUCCCUAUCUGCCGUGGGCGCUGGAGAAUUGAGGGGGGCUGCUCCUAGUACGAGAGGACCGGAGUGGACGCAUCACUGGUGUUCGGGUUGUCAUGCCAAUGGCACUGCCCGGUAGCUAAAUGCGGAAGAGAUAAGUGCUGAAAGCAUCUAAGCACGAAACUUGCCCCGAGAUGAGUUCUCCCUGACUCCUUGAGAGUCCUGAAGGAACGUUGAAGACGACGACGUUGAUAGGCCGGGUGUGUAAGCGCAGCGAUGCGUUGAGCUAACCGGUACUAAUGAACCGUGAGGCUUAACCUUACAACGCCGAAGGUGUUU
rnacentral:rRNA from 1 species